UAACAAGGUUUCCGUAGGUGAACCUGCGGAAGGAUCAUUAUU
rnacentral:rRNA from 1 species